AUAUGUAAGAGCAUAUGUAUGUCACAAGUAUGUUGUGUGUGCAUGUGUAUGUUACAAGUGCAUGGGUGUGCAGGUUGCAGAUGCAUGUAUGAAACCAUAGAUGCCAUGAGUAUAUUGUCCAUGCAUGUGUGUGUCCAUGUGAGAGUAUAUGCAGGUGCAUGUGAGCAUGUGUGUACAAGUAUAUUGUAUGUACAUGUGUGUGCACGUGUGUGUGAGUGUACAUAUGCCACAAGUACAUGUGCGUGCAGGUUUCAGGAGCAUGUAUGUGUUUGUGUGUCCCAAGUGCCUGUGUAUAUAGAUGCUCUUCAGCCUUCACAUCUCCUUCCUAUCACAAAUCAGUCAUUGUGAAGUGGAUUUCAAGUCUUCUCCAUAUGGUGCAGUGUUUCCAAGCCUCUUUUGGAUCAUGAAUCAUUUCAAUAAACAACAACAUAACAACAACAGCUAUUCCAUGUUAACUGCAUGAGAGUCAUUGUGCCAGACAUUUAAUGUGUGUUCUCUCAUUUACUUCUCCAGCAAACCCAAGAGGCAGGCCUAUGGUUAUUGUUCCAUUCUACAGAAGAAGAAACAGAGGCUCAGGAAGAGGAAGGCUCUUUCCCACGGUGGCCCUGAGCACAGCUGACAUGGGAACACUUUAGGACUGCUCAGAAGGACUGAAAACCAUCCUUUAUGGAGAACACCUCCUGUCUGGCCCUGCCUCCUUCUGGAAGAGAUGAUGAUUUAUGCUUAUCUCAAUCACAGGCAAGUCUUCCAAAUCUGUAAUUUGCGACUGUUUCCAAAGUUUGGGCAUAUGCCCCGUUACUACCAAAAUUACCUGGAGAGAAGUGUAUCAAGGGUGCUGAUUCAGCAAAGACUCUCUUAGACACGCUGCAUCACCCAAAAUCCAUUCCAGACUUUCCGGCCCUGUCUCAAACUGGCUCUUAUUCAAUCAGCAUUUAGUGAGUCCUGACUAUGAACCAGGCAUUGUGCUUGGGGUACAGACACACACAAAAAAAGCCUGAUCCCUGAUGCCCCCAUUAUAUGCCAAUGUGGAAAAGACUGCAACAGAGUUAUCUCAAAGCACGGGGGGAGUCUCAGAGCGAGGUGUGACCUGUCCCCUGCCUGUCUCUCCAGCUGCAUUCACAGCAUCCUCACCAUCCUCACUCUGCUUGGUCCCACUGCCCUUCAUUCUGCUUUGGGUUGCCCUGCUCUUCCCUCUGCCUGGAAUGAUCUUUUCCCAUCGCUUCACUUGACUAGCUCCCUCUCGUCAGUCAGUCUCAGUUUAUGCAUCCUCCUCAAACAGGUCUUCCCCAAUCAUCUCAUCAUCCCCUGUAGCUUCUCCACGUGCACCCCAGCAGUCUCUAUCAUGUCACCUUUGUUUUCUCCCUGGAAGCAUUCUUUCAGUAUCUGACACUACCUUGUUUAUUUAUUUGCAUAUUGCAUAUUACCUGUUUCUCCAAAACAAAAUGGAGUCUCCACAGGGGCAGGAAUUUUGAACCUGUGUUUAUCACUAUGUCCUUGAUACCUCCAAUAGACUUGGCACAGAUUAGAUGUGCCAACAGUAAAUACUUGAUGAUUGAACGAAUAAUACUUUCUGUGGGGAAAUUGGGAAAGGAUUCAUAAGGAUGUGACUUUAGGAGGUAGCCAGGUGAGCAGUUAUACAGGUGAGCAUCUCCCAUAGAAAGGCAUGAUGCUUUAGGGGAAUAGCAGCAGGUACUGCAGGCCAUGCAAGUGAUCUCAAAGGAGGGUGAAUAAUCAGGCAGGGCCCCCAUGGUGAGGAUCUGUGGAUGUCAAUCUCAGGAGUUUUAAUUUUUUUUCCACUAGGGCAGUGACAAGGUCACUCAUCAACUAAACCUAAAGGGGAGGCAGCUAACCAUAUUUCACAGGGGGUCUUCAUCCAUACACAUGAGGGACUAGGGGCUCACGCUGUGAAACUGCCAAGGCUCUUUGCUAGCACCCCUAAUAAUACAAUCACAAUCGCUUACUUAAAACUCACCAUGUGUUAAGCACUUCACUGGCAUCAUCUUAUUUAAUCCUCACAACAUCCUUAGAAGACAUCUUAUCUUCCCCACUUGGCAGAUAAAGAUGAAAAGAGGAGAAGUGAUUUGCUUAGAAUCUGCUAAGUAGAAGAGCUGGGAUUUGAACCCAGGCAUUCAGACACCAAAGUCUGUACCCUACCAGCUUCUAUUCCUUGGGAAUGGAAAAGGCUUUCUGAUUUUGCAUGAAAGGGUGCCCAAGAUGGAACAUUCUAGAUUCCUUGCUGUCCUCCUUUUCAGGCACUGACCUGUGUGUUCAUGAUAUAAAUCAUCCACCUUCCUGCCUGUUUGGAAUGCUGGCAUUUUGCCUUCAAUCCCCUGCUGCCUACACUCUUUGGACAUUCACUGAAGAUGGUAUGUGUGACCAGGGCCUUGACUGAGUUACUCAGCUCAGAUUUAAUCUCUUUGGGUCUCACUCCACUUAAGACCUAGUUUCUGUCUUCAAGCAUGUCCCAGGGAAGUAGGAGACUAAGGCAAGGAUAAAAAGUGAACUAAGAUUAGUGCUAAGGGAAUUUCUGUGCAAAACAUCCAUCUUCGAGGCCCUCAGUUGGCUGGACAGUACUGUUAGGGUAAAAACAAAAGUCCUUGUCAGGGCUCUGCCGGGUCAUCCUUCAAAUCCCAGCUCAGUAGCUUCAGGGAAGCCUUCUCUUUUAUGUCAAACCCCCCUCUAUUAGGCUGUCAAAGCAACACCACCUCUUUUCCUUGGCUCUUAUCAUAAAGGCACUGUUGUAUUUACAUGGGUGAUUAUUUGUUUAACGUGGGUCUUCUCCACUAGAAUGUGAGCUCCAUGAAGGCAAGGACAUGCCUGCUUUUCCUCAAUAUUCUCUCUCCAGGGCCCAGCACAGGGCCUCUUCAUACUGGCGCUCAAUAAAUAUAAGUUGAUUAAAUGAACUCACAGUUGGAAGGCAGUUACUGCAUGAGUGAUUGAGGGCAUUACUUAAUCUCUUUAAUUUUCUCAUUUGCAAUUUGGAUAAUAUCUGCUCUAUGUCCUUUUGAAAGCCAUGAAAUAAAAUUAAGUGCUUAAUAAAUUAUUAAGUGCUGUACAGAUUAUUUCUAUUAAGGAACUACAGACUGAGUCUAUCCCCAGGAUUUGGAGCACUUUCAGGAAUAUCAGCCUCAAAAACGAGCUGAGAGGACAGUGAAUGGAGGCACAACAUGCUGUCUCUUUGUUUAAAUGGAGAUGGCCACAGAAGCUUGUAAACUCAGUCAUCAUUGUGUCA